UGGCGGCGUGCCUUACACAUGCAAGUCGAACGGUAACAGGUCUUCGGAUGCUGACGAGUGGCGAACGGGUGAGUAAUACAUCGGAACGUGCCCGAUCGUGGGGGAUAACGGAGCGAAAGCUUUGCUAAUACCGCAUACGAUCUACGGAUGAAAGCGGGGGAUCUUCGGACCUCGCGCGGACGGAGCGGCCGAUGGCAGAUUAGGUAGUUGGUGGGAUAAAAGCUUACCAAGCCGACGAUCUGUAGCUGGUCUGAGAGGAUGAUCAGCCACACUGGGACUGAGACACGGCCCAGACUCCUACGGGAGGCAGCAGUGGGGAAUUUUGGACAAUGGGGGGAACCCUGAUCCAGCCAUGCCGNGUGCAGGAUGAAGGCCUUCGGGUUGUAAACUGC
rnacentral:rRNA from 1 species